AAUUUUGACAUGGAAGAACCUUUGGCCUAGAAGCCGUUAGCUAGCCCUAGCAUAAACACACCCAAGCUAAGCCGCGCAUUGUUUACAUAGCAUGCCUUCUCCUGACAGCGCGGAAAACAACAGCAACUAUCAGACAAACAUGCCCCGUCCUAUCUCAUUUGUUUGCUGAUAGGACGACAGACAAACCGCUAACAUUUGUCAACUCAAGCCACGCUGGAAAGAGAAGAUUUACCAAAUCAGUUUGAUAGCUUCAAGACUAGCAUUCGACAGAAACAUGGGAAGAAAUCCAUAAUCGGACACGUCUGGAGUUCCCAUAAUGUGUGUUUUCUCUACAUUUAAAACAAAAUAUCACGUUAGGGUGUGUGGUGAAGGGUGGUAACUUGAAAGAAAAAUUAAACUUUGUUUAUGUUUUUUAACCGACACAAAGACUGUGGUAGAACUCGUGAAAAUUCCUUCCCAGCGCUGAGGGAUCAGGAGGUGUCCGGAGAUGGAACUAGCGCUCCGGCUAGCACGUUCAGACUGGGAAAAGGAAAACGAAGCGGCUCGAACCAACACAGCCCGGGACUCUCCCACUCCCCUCCAGGUCGCUCACCGUUCUUCAGCGGCUCCAGAUCCCCGGCGUCCCUCGUCUCUUCAGCUCCUUCCCCGGAGCUCAUGGCUGCCGCUACGACCCGGACUUCAGGAUCUCCCCCCAAAACCGACAGAUACGGUGUACGGCCACUCCCGUCUGAACAAAAGCCUCCUUAAUGCCACAUGGACGGUCACGGCGGCUCCUGAACAUUAGCCGAGCCAUCUGCACUCCUCCAUCUUGGGGGAGCGUAAUUGGAAACGGUCUGCCGGGGGCACCGGGUUCCUCCUCGGAGUGAGGCCGAGGGGAGAGUCCAGGGAGCGGGAGGGGCUGGCUCCGCGUGCUUUCGGAAGUGAUUCCUCAGUGGGUCAUCGGAGCACGAGGCGCUCCAACUUCUAUGAAGAGCUUUGAAGAAUAACGUCAUAACAGUAAAUCUGUUUCUGUGCAAAUGACGUUUUACCGCCCAAGAAAAUAUUUAUGUUCAGAUGUACACACUUUAGUUUUUCCAUUGUUUUCUGUUGUUAAAAAAAAAAAAAAAUCAAAAUGUGUAGUUACUCAUUUACAGAGAAGUUUGGGUUCAAACAGAAACAGGUCAGCUGGUUCGGUCAAAGUUCUGUCAGUUCUUCUUUCUUUGACUCAAUGGCUCCCUCUGCUGGUGGAAACAGGAACUUACACCUGCUGUCAAUUGGUCAAUAAUCUCUUU
rnacentral:lncRNA from 1 species